UGGGGAAUCUUGGACAAUGGGGGCAACCCUGAUCCAGCGAUGCCGCGUGAGUGAAGAAGGCCUUCGGGUUGUAAAACUCUUUCACCUGUGAUGAUGAUGACAGUAGCAGGAGAAGAAGCACCGGCUAACUCCGUGCCAGCAGCCGCGGUAAGACGGAGGGUGCUAGCGUUGUUCGGAAUGACUGGGCGUAAAGGGCGCGUAGGCGGCUUUAUUAGUCAGGCGUGAAAGCCCCGGGCUUAACCUGGGAACUGCGUUUGAUACUGUAGAGCUUGAGGAUGGAAGAGGAAAGUGGAAUUCCUAGUGUAGAGGUGAAAUUCGUAGAUAUUAGGAGGAACAUCAGAGGCGAAGGCGGCUUUCUGGUCCAUCACUGACGCUGAGGCGCGAAAGCGUGGGGAGCAAA
rnacentral:rRNA from 1 species